AUAGGAGAUGGGAGGGAGUUAGUAUAUUCACACAUGCAAGUGAGAAUUUGAUAGGUCAUUUUGAAAAGAAUAGGGUGUGUUUGAAGGUAUUUUUGUCACAAAUCUGAAGUAGGGCCUACUGUAUUAAAUAAUUUAAUUUAUUUAGUGGAGAAUUGAGAAGAAAAUCAGAAAAAAGUUUAAAAUAUAUUUAAAGACAUGUAAAAGGAGUCCUAUCCUACUAGACGAACAACAAAAACAACCCACAAUAAAAGCAAUUGUAUAAGAUUGAAGAGACAAACUGUAAAGAUUAGCGGAGAA